AAUAUAACGUUAUUUUAUAUUCAGAUUCAACAAUAAACUGUAUUCUGUGUCACGUUGUUCCAAGUCUCAGUGAGGGUUAAUGAAGUGUCUCCCUGGGCGAGGGUGAACAGCCCUGGUACAUCUCCUAUACUGGGUGAACUGUGAGUGACUGGGGGUCGAACCAUCGAUCUAUGAAACAAGGCGAGCGCUGUAUCUACUAGACCACCGCACUCCUUGGUGUUGUCGUCCCCGGGCGGCGGCAGAGGUAGUGAGGGAGGCCCCGCCCACCAGCAACCAGCAAGGAGAUGGGCGGUGGGCGUGACGGGACGAGGUAGGGGGCGGGCAGUAUCCGGGGGAAACAUCCGGGGGUCGGCUUGGCCACCACCACUGAAUGAAGACGCUCCCUCGAGGCUACCACGACCCGCUCUGGCGCACGCUCCACACUCACCACCACCUGCUGCUCCUCCACCACACCACCUGCUGCCAUCGUCUCCACGGCACCACCACCUGGUAACCCGCCACUGUGGGCAGCGACCUGUUCCUCCCACUGGCUCUCACUUCUGGAGCGCUACUUUUACCACGCACCUGUUCCCUUGUGACGCUAGUUGCCCUCCCUGCUGGUGCUACACCUGUGUCACUGAACACUCAGCAGAGAGCAAAAUGGUUUAAAAUAUCAGAGACAAAGCAAGAAAUAUUGAGAAGAAGAGAGAACAGGUUGGAGGAGGAGGAGGUGGAGGUGGUCGCGUCAGUAGCUGGUGUGGGGGCGGCCGCUCACACCAUCUGCCUGGCACACUCACACACCCACCCACCCCUGGCUAUUAUUAAGCCUAUGGGUGUCUCUCCGCGCUGGGGCUGACGCUGGCGGCCUACCACUACACACUCCCUGCCACCACCACUACCACCCGCCGCCACCACUAUUCACAACCCGCCGCCACCACCAUCCACAACUCGCUACUACCACCAUUGACUACUCUUCAACACCAAUCACAACACACCACCACCACAUUCUCUGCCCCUCCCCCAUCACCUCCCACAUACUCCCCCGCCCUGCCUCCACCACCACUACACCCACACUCACGCUCUGCUCUUCCCCUGGGAACUCGCGCUAUGUAAACAAAAACAUUAUAAUCAACGUUUGUGAAAUCUCUUGUGUGGCGUAACUUUGAGGUCACUGAUGCGGGUGUAUAGUGAAGCUGUGUGUGGUGGGUGACGAAGGAAGGAAACGCUAUGAUGGUGACGUAAUAAGAGGCAGAUGUGUGUGAAGUGACAAUAAACAGGAGUUAAUUCUCGCGUGAGACAUGUGGCCACCAGGGCGGGAUUAGUAGUGUGGUCUGGGCGGCUGAGCUCACCCCAGAGGCCCGGUAAAUGGGAUGCUGCCAUGCCUUCUCCUCCUCCACCACCUUCGUCACAGAUGGUGCAGCCCACCAGCCUCCAGCACCACCUGUAACGUGCUUGGUGCUAUCCAGGCGUGCUCUUCACUGUGUGUAUGAAUUAAGACUAAGUUGAUGAUGAUGAUGAUGAUGAUGAUGAUGAUGAUGAUCUGUGUCUCCAGUAAGUGAGAUUAUGUUAAGUACCUGAGGACUUGUAACACUUGGUGCCUUGAGAGGUGGUGAUGUAUGAGGGAGAUGGUGCCAUGGUUCAGUGAGAUGGUGCCAUGGUGAGGGAGAUAGUGCCAUGGUAAGUGAGAUGGUGCCAUGGUUCAGGGAGAAGGUGCCAUGGAUCAGGGAGAUGGUGCCAUGGUGAGGGAGAUAGUGCCAUGGUUCAGGGAGAAGGUGCCAUGGUUCAGGGAGAUGGUGCCAUGGUUCAGGGAGAUGGUGCCAUGGUUCAGGGAGAUGGUGCUUUGGAUGUUUGAACACUCUUGGACCAUCGAGCGUCGUCACAAUGCAUUGCCAAGGAGCGAUUACAAUGUUGUGUUGUAGUGAUCUUCGGAUUCACCAGUCUGCAAGAUGGUGCUGUUGGGUCAUCAGGUGUAGUGUUACUGUUCAAAUCACCAGCAGGGAGGAUGGCACGACGACUGUGUGACCGUGACUGACUGGGAGGCAGCUUGGUAACUCACAUCUCGAGCGUGGUGACCUUGAGUGUGUGUGUGUGUGUGUGUGUAUGUGUGUGUGUGUGUAUUUGGUGCGCCGCUCACGUGCCUUUUGUUGACAGAUACUUUUUGAAAUUUAACAAAAAACUUGAUGGUGACACAAACCCGGCAGCUUAUUGUGAGUGUUAAAUGGUCUGAUAAUUUUGUUUUAUAACUUAUUUAUAAACACAUUCAAAGGAAACUAGAUCUGUUAGCUCCUUCACUUGUGUUGUAAAGAGAGAUUUUCAUAUUUUGUCUAAGAGGAACUUAUUCCUCAUCUAGUUGGUGACAUCAGGAGACAUUGUAGUAAACAGUAUGGGGUAAUUUGUGGUGUUUGGAAACGGAAAAUAAAUAAGAUAAUUUUGGAUCUUUUAGUGAUUACGAAACACCGUGUGAGAUGAAGGCAGGUGGUACACACUGUUUAUAGUAACGCCCCGAGAAUACUACACUUGUACUCGGAGCAACGCCCUGCCACGCCCAACUACCCCCACGCCUCAGCUACCCACGCCCACACUACCCACGCUUGGCCCACGUGCCCAGCGUCAGCCCACGCCCGCACCUGUGCCAAGUUCCUCGUUUUGCUUGUGCCCCGUUAACUAGUUGAGGAUUCCGCCCACAGCCGCCCACUUUCGACCAGAGGCACCGGUUUAACUUACGCCCGCCCACACAUACACCUGACCGUCCGUCCACGCAUAUCCGCCCACACACCCGCCCGCCCGCAUACCUGGACGUACCACGCGUCCGCUCGCAUAUCUGGACCCAUCUCACCCGCAUACUUUGCCACACAACGCCUGCCCACCCGCACGCCCGCACAUGGCCGCCGCGGAGUGAAAGCAGGUUCUGUGGGCCGCCCGUGAAGGAUGUCUCUGCUGGUAUAUGGCGACGUGACGAGGUCGCUGAGAGAGGAGGUGAGGAAGGUGGCGGGUCCCAACACUAACAUUAUCACCUCCAACCUUCUGCCCCACAUCCUGGGUAACAUGGGCCUCUUCCCCUCCAAGGCUCAAG
rnacentral:lncRNA from 1 species